rnacentral:misc_RNA from 1 species
UCGCGGCUUAUCACCGGCAGUCUCCUUAGAGUGCUCAACUAAAUGGUAGCAACUAAGGACGGGGGUUGCGCUCGUUGCGGGACUUAACCCAACAUCUCACGACACGAGCUGACGACAGCCAUGCACCACCUGUGCACCGGUCCCGAAGGAGGGCCGUAUUUCUACGGAUUUCCGGCGCAUGUCAAGCCCUGGUAAGGUUCUUCGCGUUGCAUCGAAUUAAACCACAUGCUCCGCUGCUUGUGCGGGCCCCCGUCAAUUCCUUUGAGUUUCAAUCUUGCGACCGUACUCCCCAGGCGGGAUGCUUAAUGCGUUAGCUGCGCCACUGAUAAGCAUGCUUACCAACGGCUAGCAUCCAUCGUUUACGGCGUGGACUAC